rnacentral:lncRNA from 1 species
UACAUUUAGUGGGAGAUAUUAUGGACAUAAUUGUGCAAAUCGUGAUACAAGCAUGAAAUUUGGUAUAAAGGUUGACUAAAUGAUACUUAAAAAAAAUCCGCUGCUGGCCAGAAAAAAAAUCAUUUUUUUCAAAAUGGCCACCACACAUUUGGGAAAUGGCGUCAUUACAAAUUGGCAAUAAUUCGUUAAUCCUUUGAAAGGUGUGUUAUAUGUAAAAUCCAAUGUUAAGUUUGAUAAAAAAAAAAAAGAAAUGACAGUUCCUAAAUUACGACUAGACAACACAUUAAUGAAACUAAAGGUGACUUCCGGUUUCAAAUAUGCCGGCAAAAAAGUAAAAAAAAUUUCAAUUUUUAUACUUUCAAGCAACUUCACAAGGGAUGUAAAUCCUUGAAAGAUGUGUUAUAGGUAUAAUCCAAUGUAAGUUAUGAUAAAACGUUAAAAACAGUUCCUAAGUACGACAAAACAACACAUAAAUGAAAAAAAUAGU